GCGCCUUUAGCUUAGUUGGAUCAGAGCAACGGCCUUCUAAGCCGUAGGUCAUAGGUUCGAAUCCUAUAAGGCGCACCA
rnacentral:tRNA from 2 species